rnacentral:misc_RNA from 1 species
GUAGGUGAACCUGCGGAAGGAUCAUUAACACGUGUCCCACGUAUCAAACCAAAACCGUGAACUGUGAACGUAUAUCCGGGAUAAGCUAGAUGGCGUGGGCAGUAAAGUCCAGGGAUGAGUCUACUUUCGGGUGGACUGUACUCUGGGUUCCCCACAUUUGGCUUAGACCGUUAACCAAACCAAUUAUUCAUUAUUAUUAUCGUCUUAAGAACUGUCGUGCUGACUGAGAGGAUCGCGAAGUAGCUAGCUC